rnacentral:snRNA from 1 species
AAUCACUGCUAUUAAAAACUCCAAUUUGAACAAUACAGAGAAGAUUAGUAUGGCCCCUAAGCAAGGAUGACAUGCAAAUUUGUGAAGCAUUCCAUAUUUUU